CUGUUCAAUCUCAAAAACAAACAUAUAUAAUUCCACCAACACUGGCUUACACUAUACUCCUAUAUGUCCUAUUUUGCAGGGCCAACUAAGUUCGACAACGAUGCUUAUUUAGAGGAAUAUAUAUAUUUGAGUUACUUUGAUUUUAUCAUAUCACGUUAUUUCUAGGUAUGAGUAUGCAGUUUUAUGCUAUUAACUUGAAUGUUGUAAAUUUGUUCGUAGAUUCAUCAU
rnacentral:lncRNA from 1 species